rnacentral:lncRNA from 1 species
GGGGCUCAGAGCCCCGGAGUUCUCCCUGGAUCCCCUGAGCCACACAAGACAGGCAGGGGAGACCCCAGGCCUGGGGGUGCUGGGCGGCCGGUGAGUGCAGGGAAGAGAUGGGGGUGGGCCUCUGCAGCCCCAGUCCUGACCGCUGCUCCCACAGCCAGCUCCCCACACAGCCAGGCCCAGGACAGGCACUUCCUCCCCACCCUUCCUCUCUGUGGCUUCUCCCUUUGUGGGAGGUAGCAUCCUGCUUCCCUCUCUCACCCUAGGAGGUCUUGCUCCACCCCAGGAGGGGCUGGGGCUCAGGCCCAGUGCACAGAGGUGCUGGGCUGGCACUGAGGGGACCUGCAUGGGACACCCAGCCCUCAUCAGACACAGCCGAGCUGACACUCCUCACAUGUGGAGAAUUAUUCUGAGAAGUGUUUUUCAGACCUGUGAGGGGGUGGGGUGGGGGAGACUUGGGUCUGAUUCAAAGGAAAUUGAGCAAGGAGAAAAAUUAAGCAAUUAUCAACUCUGGAGGAAAACCAAAAAGUUGAAUAAGGAAGAUCAUGUCAUUGCAGUCUGUCCAUAUGGGCCAGCACUGAAUGCAUUCACAUGAUUAGAAUAACAAAAUUAGACAUGGGUUAAAAAUAAAACUGGCACACAGCUCUUUGGUGGUAGAAAGGGAACUAAUGCCUUCCGGAAGGUCAUAAUGCUUUUCUGCCAUUCAAACCUGAUUCCUCUCUCUACUAUAGAGGCCUGUGUAGGGGCUGACCUGUGUGGGGGCUGAAGGUUAGAUGGGGUGCCUAAGCCUAGCCCAGGCCCAGCCUGGCCUGGGGGCUCUGCCUGCACUCAGUGUCACUUCUCUUUCUGGUUCUAACCAAAUCACCAUUUCCUGUUCAAUGUGUGGGUUCCAGGAACCCCCAGACUGCCUUGAAAUUCGUCAGGACUGGGUGCCCCUGCAUGACGAGCCGUGCAUCCACCCCCACGACUCUGUUCCCACUUUCUCAGCUCUGGGCCUGGCUGGGGGCAGGAGGGGUGAACGACGGUGGAGCCUGACCUGGGUCUGACGACCCACGAACAGUGAUGCACCUGGAGACACUCGGGGCCCUUCCUUCUCUGGCUGCGAGGACUCGUGAGGGCACAGGGCAGGGUCCUGCAGAGGGGCUCAGUGAACAGAAAGUCGAAGUCACUAAGACAAGUGAGUCUCAGUCCAGUUCUCUGGAGCCUUCCUAGAAUCACGGUGAUGCAAUGGGUAAGAAUCAAAAGCUCCCCCUCGCUUCCCAGAGGCAGCCAAGUGGUGGUGAAGGCCUGGGCCACUUCCUCGCUGCAGGGCCUGGCCGGCUUGGCCAGCACACAGGAGGGCUGUGUUGGCACCAGCGUGGAGGACAGCAAAGUGGGGACAGAGUUGGGAACCCAACGCUGACGCCUCCCACGUGUCUCCCUCUCUCCACGACCCUGUCUGGACCUCUCCCACCAGUUUCUCCUCCUCCCCAAGGGGACCGAAGCUCCAUCUGGCUCCCCAGUCCCCCAGGAUACCCCGGGUGGUGCUCCAGUCUCUGCCCGUCUGGGCCCAGGGGUGGCAGUGCGGCCAGGAGGGCAUCUCUCCCUACCCUCACCCUUCUGGGGGCCCUCAUCCUGCAGGGCUUCCCAGAGGAUUGCCACCCAUCUUCCCCUCCUCCCCCGGGAAGCCCUGCCAGCUAGACACUGCCUCUCUCUCCUUCUCCCCUUAGGUCCUGGCGGAAACGAGGGAGCUGCAGCGGGGCCCAGGCAGCCAGGGCAGGAUGGCGACUGAGGAGGUCGGGGCAGGGCCGGACCGAGGAGCGUGGAGAGGGUCUUCUGAUGAGGCCCCCUUGCUGCUUGAUGAAAGAGCUCGUGGACUCGUGGGGACCUGACGAGCAGACACUUCUGCACUCAUGCUCCCAAGCAGGGGACCCAAUAGAAAAACUAAAACAGACACGGGGACACGGGGGGGGGCACCAACCUAUAACAGCGAGGAGCACGUGGACAGGGAGGAGAUAAGGACGGGAGGAAACUCCAGAGACCAUAAAAGGAACAGGCCCAACUCCCCAGCAGACUCCCAGCUCUGGGGCCUUCUCUCCCUCUGUAUCUUUUGUCUUUCAACAAACCUGCUUCUGCUGCUGUCUCUAUGUCCUGUUCUUCAAUUCUUUGCUGAACAGAGACAAUGAACCCACACCCCUAGAUGGUAAAAGAGACGCCCCAGGGCUGGGCGGCUCCUGGCACACAGAGCUGAGCAGGUGAGCAGUGACCUCCCGGCUGCAGAAAGCUGGGCUGCAGUGUGGGCAGCUGGCCGCACCUCCCCAGGUCAGCUCUGGAUGUCCCCUUUUUGCAUCCAUAAGAGGGGGUGAGGUACCUGCUGGAGCAGGUGACUUAUUGGAAAUUCCCAGAGGACACAUGGGGUGGGGUCAGGGCCCAGCAGCCUGGCAUGCAAGGUAGGGUAGGGCUGGAAGUCCCUCUAGAUGACUGGGCCUGACCCAGAGGCUGUCCCCAUGGGGUGAGGCUGAGGUCGAGCCGGCCUCCAGCAGGGCAUGUUCUCUCUCAUGUGGGUGUGACCCUCUCGGAGACAGUGACUCACUGGAGGUCCCACAGGGGAGGGCUGGGCUAAUGGCCAGAAGACCUCACCCCUUCACACUUGAGCAACGGUGGAAAUCCCAGGUCCGUAAAGGCCGAAAGCCGGUUGGGCAUGGAGGUGCGAGCCUGUAAUCUUAGCAACUCAGGAGGCUGAGGCAGGAGGAUCAAGUCCAGGCCAGCCUCAGCAUCUAGGCAAGGCCCCAAACAACUCAGUGAGACCCUGUGUCUAAAUAAAAUACAAAAAGGGCUGGGAUGUGGCUCAGUGGUAAGUGCCCUGGGGUUCAAUCCUCAGUAUUAAAAAAAAAAAAAAAGUCUGCAUAUGGACAGGGAGAACACAAGGCCCUGGGUGGCCACCAUGCCCUGCGCAGCCCUGGACAAUGGUGUCGGAUUUCAACAUUCUCAAACAGUUUUCUGUGUUUCCCAACUACCCACAAUGCCAUGUAUUCCCAAUAUAUUCAGAAAAGGAUGUUGUUACAAAUCAGUUCAUCAAACCCUAAGACAGACCCAGAAGGACCCAGACCCAGAAGCCAGCCCCCUGUCUAGUUCAGAAGAGGGUGGCAGGGAGGGAAGGAGGGGACAGCCUGUGCUGGGCCUCCCUCCGCCCAGGCACUGUCCCCCUCUUCCACUGCCCUCUUCCUCCCACGCCCCACUGCUUCCUCCUGA